CGUGUGUGUGUGUGUGUGUGUGUGUGUGUGUGUGUGUGUGUGUGUGCGUGCGUUGGAAUAGUAAUAAAACCUUCGCCGUAUACUUUAUACUCAGACUUUUAGUCCUAUACACACACCUACAAUACACAGUGUGUACAGUAGGUAUUACACACACACACACAGACACACACACACACACACACACACACACACGCG